UACGUAGGUCCCGAGCGUUGUCCGGAUUUAUUGGACGUAAAGCGAGCGCAGGUGGUUUAUUAAGUCUGGUGUAAAAGGCAGUGGCUCAACCAUUGUAUGCAUUGGAAACUGGUAGACUUGAGUGCAGGAGAGGAGAGUGGAAUUCCAUGUGUAGCGGUGAAAUGCGUAGAUAUAUGGAGGAACGCCGGUGGCGAAAGCGGCUCUCUGGCCUGUAACUGACACUGAGGCUCGAAAGCGUGGGGAGCAAACAGG
rnacentral:rRNA from 1 species